GAAUUAGUAACUUAAUUGGUAGAGGGUUUCCUUGUCACGGAAGCAGAUGCCGGUUCGAUGCCGGUCUAGUUCG
rnacentral:ncRNA from 11 species